UUAGAGCAAUAAAUUCUCUACUCUCCUGCUGAAAAUUGCAGCAACAUUUCCUAAUCAAUGGCUUAUUUACCUCUCCCUACUCUAAUCUUGCUUUGUCUUCUUCAAUGGCUACCAUGUUUGUCCGCAGCCAACAUCAGUGUGGGUUCAUCUCUGUCCACCACCGGUGAUAACUCUUCACGGCUUUCCCCUUUGGGUCACUUCGCUUUUGGAUUUCGCCAGCUUAACAAUUCAAACCAUUUCUUACUUGCCAUCUGGUUCAACAAAAUACCUGAAAAUACUAUUGUUUGGUACGCCGACGGAGAUAACCCAGCUCCAAGAGGAUCAAAAGUGGAGCUUACAACCCAAGGCCUCUUGCUCAAAGAUCCUGAAAACCAAAUAAUAUGGAGUACAAGUCCUUCCACCGAAGUUGCGGAUGAAGCUGCUAUGCUUGACACAGGCAACUUCGUGCUAAUAGGUAAUGACUGUAACUAUGUUUGGCAGAGUUUUAAGGAUCCUAGAGACACUAUCUUACGCACGCAGAGAUUAGAUUUGGGUAGUAUGCUGGUUUCAAAGCUGACAGAAACCAAUUUCUCCAAGGGCAGGUUUGAGCUCCAUUUUACCAAUGGAAACCUUGAGCUCAAUCCUGUAGCGUGGCCAACUAGAUUCAAUUAUAAACCAUAUUAUACCAGCAAUACUUACAGUGCAGAUUCUUCUGAGUCGGGCCAUCAGCUGGUUUUUGAUGAAUUAGCUGACAUUUACAUUGUGAAAACUAAUGAAGCAAUCGUUCAAUUGUGGGAAAAUUUAACAUAUAGUGCGGAUUACUAUUAUCGAGCAACUUUGGACUUCGAUGGAAGUUUCGCAGAAUUUGCUUAUCCAAGGACUUCUGAUGGUAAUCAGGCUUGGUGGCGUCUGCGAGCUGUUCCUGAGAACAUGUGUUUGGCCAUAUUUCACGACAUUGGCAGGGGUGGCUGUGGCUUCAAUAGCUACUGCACAUUUGGAAAUGGGAGAUAUAAUUGUAACUGCCCAGAUGGGUAUGUAUUUGUGGAUCCAACUAACCGAUUUAGUGACUGCAGGCCGACGUUUCGGCAAGGGUGUGAAGCUAAUGGUGGGUCAAGAGAUCCAGAAGAAUUAUAUCAAAUGAGGGAAGUCAAAGAUGUAAAUUGGCCACUGGGAGAUUAUGAGAGGUUGGAACCUUAUACUCAAACAAUGUGCGAAAAAGAUUGCUUGCAUGAUUGCUCUUGUGCUGCUGUGAUAUUUAGAGCCAACAGAUGUUGGAAGAAGAGAUUUCCACUUUCCAACGGAAGAUUGGAACCUAAUUCUUUCUCAAAAGCUCUACUCAAAGUCAGGAAAGGAGAUUCUCCAGAGUCUGCCAAUUCAGGCAGCAAUAAAGGAAUAUUAACAUUAUUAGGAGCUGUAUUCUUGGGUGGUUCUGUAUUCUUUAACGUUCUUUUGCUAGUGGCUCUUUGUCUAAUUGUCUUUCUGUUGCCUAAGAGACAAUAUGGAAACCAUAAUUUCAAAGAUUCAACCAUGGCUGAAUCAAAUUUGCGUUUCUUUACUUACAAUGAACUCAGUGAGGCUACAGAUGACUUUAAGGAAGAACUGGGCAGAGGCUCUUUCGGUAUCGUGUACAAAGGGGUCUUCAGAACUGGUUCAGGAAAUGCCAUAGCGGUCAAGAAGUUGGACAAGUUAGCUCAAGAAAAGGAAAGAGAAUUUAAAACUGAAGUGAGUGCAAUUGGGAGAAUUCAUCACAAAAAUCUAGUCCAGUUGCUAGGAUACUGUGAUGAAGGUACUAAUCGGCUUUUAGUAUAUGAAGUUAUGAGCAAUGGGACUUUGGCAAAUAUCCUUUUUGCACUUCCAAGGCCUGACUGGAAUCUAAGAGUCAGGAUUUCCCUGGAGAUUGCGAAAGGGCUUGUGUACUUACAUGAAGAAUGCAAUGUUCCAAUCAUCCAUUGUGAUAUAAAACCUCAAAAUAUACUUCUAGACCACUACUUUAAUGCAAAGAUUUCUGACUUUGGAUUAUCAAAGUUGUUACUCUCAGAUCAGUCUCGAACGCGGACCAUGAUCCGAGGAACUCGAGGAUAUGUAGCCCCUGAAUGGUUCAAGAAUGUACCUGUGUCUGCCAAAGUGGAUGUUUACAGUUAUGGUGUUAUGCUAUUAGAGAUAAUUUGCUGCAGAAGAAGCGUGGAGAUGGAAACAGAGGAAGAAAGAAAGGCAAUCCUAACAGAUUGGGUUUAUGACUGCUAUGUUGAAGGAAGAGUAGAUGCUCUGGUAAAUGAAGAUGAAAUGGCUAUGGCAGACAAGUGCAGGUUGCAAAAGUGGCUGAUGGUAGCAAUCUGGUGCAUCCAAGAAGAUCCUUCAAAGCGGCCAACAAUGAAGAUGGUGUUGCACAUGUUUGAAGGAUAUUUGGAAGUUCCAAAAUCCCCAUGCCCUUCUUCCUUCAGCUUGAGUUGAGGCCACUGUUAAAUAAAAUAGGUUAAUGGAAUGCAAGUAUGUUGGAACUGAAGAUCAAAGAAGGAGCAAUUCGAAAGAUCAAAGAAGGAGCAAUUUGGAACGUUGCUCUGAUACCAUGCCAAAAUCUGAGAAAAAACAGAGUUAGUUCACUAUGCGAACCAGAGAAGCUUAAGAGGACUGUCUUUCACAUGAACAGCCCUUUGUUUUGCUGUGUUUUCUUCACCAGAACAGACACAACUCCGACCACUCAACGAUACUAAAUGGAGCAUUUCAUGAUUAUUUGUUUACAUGUAAGCAUUGAUGUUACAAUGUUAAGUCUGCAAAUAUUUUUAAUCAAUUGUAAGGAUAUUUAGCAUGCUAUGCGUCAUGUAACAUGAUGAUUCAAUUUAAGAAGUGAAGGACUCAAAAUCAUUAUCUCUCAGAGAUUUGAAAAUGCA